GAGAGUUUGAUCCUGGCUCAGGACGAACGCUGGCGGCGUGCCUAAUACAUGCAAGUCGAACGCUUCUUUUUCCACCGGAGCUUGCUCCACCGGAAAAAGAGGAGUGGCGAACGGGUGAGUAACACGUGGGUAACCUGCCCAUCAGAAGGGGAUAACACUUGGAAACAGGUGCUAAUACCGUAUAACAAUCAAAACCGCAUGGUUUUGAUUUGAAAGGCGCUUUCGGGUGUCGCUGAUGGAUGGACCCGCGGUGCAUUAGCUAGUUGGUGAGGUAACGGCUCACCAAGGCCACGAUGCAUAGCCGACCUGAGAGGGUGAUCGGCCACAUUGGGACUGAGACACGGCCCAAACUCCUACGGGAGGCAGCAGUAGGGAAUCUUCGGCAAUGGACGAAAGUCUGACCGAGCAACGCCGCGUGAGUGAAGAAGGUUUUCGGAUCGUAAAACUCUGUUGUUAGAGAAGAACAAGGAUGAGAGUAACUGUUCAUCCCUUGACGGUAUCUAACCAGAAAGCCACGGCUAACUACGUGCCAGCAGCCGCGGUAAUACGUAGGUGGCAAGCGUUGUCCGGAUUUAUUGGGCGUAAAGCGAGCGCAGGCGGUUUCUUAAGUCUGAUGUGAAAGCCCCCGGCUCAACCGGGGAGGGUCAUUGGAAACUGGGAGACUUGAGUGCAGAAGAGGAGAGUGGAAUUCCAUGUGUAGCGGUGAAAUGCGUAGAUAUAUGGAGGAACACCAGUGGCGAAGGCGGCUCUCUGGUCUGUAACUGACGCUGAGGCUCGAAAGCGUGGGG
rnacentral:rRNA from 1 species